UACGAAGGGGGCUAGCGUUGUUCGGAAUCACUGGGCGUAAAGGGCGCGUAGGCGGCUUUGUAAGUCGGGGGUGAAAGCCUGUGGCUCAACCACAGAAUUGCCUUCGAUACUGCAUGGCUUGAGACCGGAAGAGGUAAGUGGAACUGCGAGUGUAGAGGUGAAAUUCGUAGAUAUUCGCAAGAACACCAGUGGCGAAGGCGGCCAACUGGUCCGGUACUGACGCUGAGGUGCGAAAGCGUGGGGAGCAAACAGG
rnacentral:rRNA from 1 species